AUUUACCCUCUACCUUAAGGCAAACAUUCAGUAGUGAUUCUAGUGAAAGUACUUUGGUAUGUACUUAAUAAUUGCAUGCUUUCAUUGGGUUCUACCAUGUGUGGGAAUUGUUGGCAUUGUGGUCACAUUGAAGCCUGAUGGCCAGGUUCUAUAAUUAGGACCACAAUGCCACCUAGUCUGGAGGCCUCCUUAGGGGAGAUAGUCUGGUCACAGAGUCAAGGUCCUAUGUGAAACUCAUGUUAGAAGUCCAGGAAUUUCUUGGACCGAUAAUUAACCGCUAUAUACUGUCAUUUUGACGUGCACUCUGCACAUCUAAAAUGUAUUGUCUAUACAGGCCGUGGGGUUCCCCAAUGUUGGAAAGAGCUCCACCAUCAAUGCCCUCAUUCAGUGCAAGAAGGUCCCAAUGUCUGCAUGCCACUCCGAGGGAGGACGAAACACUUUUAGUGUCCCUUGUGGCCUCACGGAUCCCACGGCUUGUCCUCGAGGCUACCUAUCGAAUCAGACUAUACCACACCCCCAGGAAGGAGAGGACCCUGAUCGACCACCUUAUAUGCUGAGGAGCUAUGUGGAGCUUAUGGCUGUGCAUGGUACCCCAAUGUUGGCAAGAGCUCCACCAUCAAUGCCCUCAUUCAGUGCAAGAAGGUUGCCACUCCAUGGAGACUAAACACUUUCAGUUUUCACUUUCUACUAUUGGUAUACCUCUUUGCUGCUACUAUGAACACCACAACACCUGCGACUGAGAUCACAAUGUUCACCAGGAAAUAAACCGGAGAAGCUGUGUGUAGCUUAUGGCUGUAGGACUAAUAGUGAGCUCACUAAAACACCUAACCUAGGAGCAUGUCAUAAUCGUUACGUAGCAGAAUACCUGCAUGACGCCUUACCAUUGGUGAGGAAUAGAAUCAACCAUAUUGACAGGUAUACCCUUGGCGGAGUGCUUGUGGGUGGAAUCUCCUUGACUUUGUUACAAUUAGUGUUUCAGCUUAAUAUACAAAGCUUGGUGCAGGUUUUUGCGUUUCAACCCAUUAACACUCGCAAAGUUGCUUUUGUUUGAUGCAUACAAAAGUGGGGUGGGUGGCUGGAUUAUUAUGUCCUGCUAUUGUUGUGUAUAUGUAUAAUUAUGUACUUGCCUGCCGAUUGGAAAAGCAAAGCGAGCCCUAUAUACACACUAUAGCGACUUACAUGUACAUACAUUUUUCGAUUUAUGUUUGUAUGUACCGUAUAGCUGGUAUUUUCGAGGAUAUAAAUGUUUGUGGUUUUCGCUGAUUAAGCAUCUACUGCGAACGUUUAUAU